rnacentral:lncRNA from 1 species
UAUUUAUGCCAAAACUUUUAAAAAAAUCUACUAAUGCCUAAAUAUAAAGUCCAAUCCAACAAAAAAUAAAAGAUUACUCUACUCAACCCAUCCAACCGAGCCCAUUCGGCCCGAUUACAAAUGUAAAAGAAAAAAAAAAAUCGAUUAUCAUCUCUCCUUCUACCCUCACUCAAUCCACUGAAAUCCUAGACGAAGAGCCCUUCCCUCUCUUCCUCCUACGCCAUCGCAGCC